CCUACGGGAGGCAGCAGUGAGGAAUAUUGGUCAAUGGGCGGGAGCCUGAACCAGCCAAGUCGCGUGAGGGAAGACGGUCCUAUGGAUUGUAAACCUCUUUAGGCGGGGAGCAAUGCCGGGCACGUGUGCCGGGAGGGAGAGUACCCGCAGAAUAAGCAUCGACCAACUCCGUGCCAGCAGCCGCGGGAAUAGGGAGGAUGCGAGCGUUAUCCGGUUUUAUUGGGUUAAAAGGGUGCGUAGGCGGAUUUUUAGUUCAGCGGUAAAAGGUCCGGGCUCAACCCGGGCCGGCCGUUGAUACUGGGGAUCUUGAGUGUGUGAGAGGAAUGCGGAAUGCGUGGUGUAGCGGUGAAAUGCGUAGAUAUCACGAAGAACUCCGAUUGCGAAGGCAGCUUACCGGCGCCCGACUGACGCUGAGGCACGAAAGCGUGGGGAUCGAACAGGAUUAGAUACCCCAGUAGUC
rnacentral:rRNA from 1 species